GAGUCUUACCUGCGGACAAUCAGCUUUUUGAGUGUGAUUAUGUGGAUUGUGAGGAGUUUAAUCACCCUCAUGUUUUGCAUAUUCGUGCUCUUGGGUGUACUUGCCCGUGUGGUAGGUUAACAUCAAUUUCGGACGUCAUAAAAUGAUUGGAGGAGUGUAGCUUUGAUCUCGUAUCGAAGUUGUUAUAG
rnacentral:rRNA from 1 species